GGUAUAAACGAUGCCCCCCAUAGGGGGCCUCUGAGACUAUCCACGGUAGGCACUCGCGCUUAGGGAUUGGCCGCUGGCUCGCUUUGCCUCCACCCAGCUGGGCCACGUGUCACGACUGGAUUGGGCCGGUUCGGGUCCAAAAUAUCUCUCCUCAGCCAACCCAAUCGAGCGACAACCCUAUCCUCUCCCUGUUCGUCUCCUCCCCGAACCCCCCACAUCGCUCAGCCGCCACCGCCGCUCGCGCUGCCUCCUCACCAUCCCCUGCAGCAGCGCCGUCUGGCUCCACCCAGACGGAGCAGCGCCGUCUCGCUAUCGCCGGGAGUUACUCCGCCCCACGCUGGACCGGAUCCACGGUGAGGGGAUCGCCGCCUGCAGCGACCGGCGAUUCGAGGUGAACGACCUCGCCCAUCUGCUGCUCUUGCCUCGAUGGACGGCAGCACCUGCCGCCGGCCGCAAACCUCGUCGUCCCCUGCAGCGACCGGCGAUUCGAGGUGAAGGACCUCACCACUCCGCUGCUCUUCCCCUAUGACGCAACCUCGAUGAAAGGCACAAUCGCCAGGAGUCUGGCGAUUGGAGGUGAAGGACCUCGCCCCUGGAUGGCCCUGCAGCCCUGCAGUGACUGGCGAUUGGAGGUGAAGGUCCUCGCCCCUGGACGGCAGCACAGCUACGGAGUUUGCCGGCGCCUUGUUCUACAGCCCCUACCUGAGCUGUUGAUCCUGGCGUCUCCGAGAGCUACUGCCAGUCCCCGAGCACCUGGCGCCGACCACCUCCACGACUAGCUACUGUAGAUUAGGUGAUCUCGAAGUCACUUGGUCUCCAUGAUACAACAUUGGCUGAUUUUGGUUGGCUCGCACCAUGGAGCGGUAGUGCGUGCUCAUUGACCGACGUUCGCAACGCUGGCUGACUACAUAUUCAAGGAAGGUAAUACGUGUGCAAUCAGCGUGUGUGUUGUGAUGAAUGGACAUGUCAUCUUGAUUUUGUUAGCUUCAGUUUCAUUAAUUUCGGAGUAGAAAACUUGAUGUGUGUGUGUGUGUGUGUAUGCACGACUUUGUGGCGGCUGUUCGGUGGUGGAGGAGGAAGGUUCGUUUUCAUCUUCUUCGUGGAGAUCGACUUCAUUCAUGACUGGCUAAACAAUGGGUUCAAGAAUAGUAGGACAAGGGUGGAAUUCUUAGCAAUCACGUCCGCUCGCGAGAGCAAGUAGAGUCGAUUUGGGAUUUUUCUUUGUUGCAGGUUGGACUUCUAAAUUUAUCACUCUGUUAAUUGUUUCUCGUGACUUUUCUUCUCUCCACCAAUUACUUGAAGAACCAAUUUAUACAGUAUUUUGUGGCAGCAGCUAACACAUUGGGUCUAAGUGAAAUUUGUUGUUGUGGUGAGAACUUGGUUUCUUCUUCGUGGUUGGAACCUGAGACAACACACUGGAGGAUUCAUCACCGAGCUUAGUCACUGCAACCUGAACAAGAGGACUCAAACAAUAAGGAUGUAGAGUAAUGAGAGAACAAGCAACCACCAUGUCAUAUAUAGUAGUUGAUCUGGAGCUAUAUCCUACCCACGAAGGAUCUAUUUUUUGUAUUUUGCUUUGAUAUUUUCUUCUUGGCACUUCAAAGUUGGUAUCAGGAAUAUGAUGAUCCAUCACAGAGAAACUUUACAAAGUGUGUGACCAUCUACCUUAAUUCAUUUUGUAUGGUAGCAGAUCGAUCCUACAUGAACAAAUGAACAAUCCAUCUUAGCCGAGAUUUUUUAUACAAGGAGCAUUCUUGUAAGGUUGGCUUCGUGGUGGCGUGGUUAGGACAGUGGCACCACAAAUUCUCGCCUCGAGCUACCUACUCUUCUCCCAUGUCCUUGGGUUCUCCCUCCCAGCGUCGUUUGUUCCACCAUCUCUAACUUGUCGGAGAGGCCGAUGGAUAAUGAAUUGCUGGUUCGAUAUUUUGUUGGUCUACAAGUUGUUGCUAUGCUAGGAGGCAUUUUUUUGCAGAUUGUUUUGCACUGCCAUCAUUUAUAUAGUUUAAAUGGUGACAUUAUUACACAUAUUUUUUUAAAUGAAUUUGGAGAUUAUCAGGUCUGGGGCAUAUAUGCUACUAAAAUAGUGUUUUUUCUACCUUGGAUAUAUGUAUCUGUUCCUGAUCUCUAAUAUGUCUUGUCAAAAUUGUGUAUUUCAUUCUUGAACAAAACUAGGAGAGAGCAUAUGAAUUAAGAUUUGCUCAUAUAUAUCUUGCGAGCAAGUGUCUCUUAUGAUCCAUGUGGUGAAGAUUCUUCGUUGUACAUUGUUUGUAUCUUCAUGAAUAAUCUUACGAGCCACCUUAUGAUAUUUUCUUAUUUCGUUUUGAACAUCUGAACUUGGGUUUUCCAAGGUAAAGUAGAAGAAUGUGUACACGCUUAAUGCCUUAAGUCCAGCUUGAGAGGACAUAAAGAAUAAUUUUUAUUUCUGUAUGGCCAUGAUUAUGAUGUCAAACAAAUGCAUAUGCUUGCCUUUCAGAGUUUCUACCAUUUGCAUGUGUUGCAUUUUUUAAUUAAAUAUUUGCUAAUAGUAUGAAGGAUGAAAAAGGUAUGGACAUCCAGCUUCAUUUUAAUCAACGCUCCUUCCUAAGAAUGCCCCAUUUCAGAAUAAACUGAAGGAUGAAAAAGAUUUUUUCGGAGGAGCCUGUCGGUGUUGUUACUGGUUCUAACAUGACUAAGCGCCGACAUGCCAGGUGCUAUAUUCUUUCCCCUUUCUUGGCAUAGUUCUAUGUAUAUAUUUCGGAUUGAGAGUAAGCUUCGCUUCUGAUGUUUCAGGGGGUGUUACCCAGCCUGAAGGAUUAUAACUACAAUAGAUGAAUAGGCUGAAGAAGAAAUGUACUAAAUGUCUCCUGCAACAGUUAAGCGAGAUAUGCGUACAUUAAACGGUUUAGCAAUUGAUGGGAUUCUUUCAUAGAUGAUAUAUAUUUAGAUUUUAACAAAGUUUGAUCUAUUUGAAAUUAGUUAAUAUUUUUAGAACAAUUGUAUUUAAGAAACAUAACAGGGGCAGCUCCAUGCAUACCUUAGACAGCUUCCUGCAUAAAUUCUAUAGCUUGCAAUAACAUGGUCCAACCAUUUUCCAACUAUUGAAUUCUUUCUGAUUGUCUCUCUUUCAUGUUCCUAACAGUUGCCAUAUCCUUUUGCAUUGCACUGAUACCUUGAUCCAUAAAUAAAAACAUUUAGUAGCUACAUUUAGUCCUAACAGCUAAUCUACUUCCACUAAGUUUUUUAAUAACUUCCUUUAAAAUAAUCUUGCCAGAUAUGAAAAUAAUCCCCAAGUCGUCUGCAUUUUCAAUCAAGGUAUUUAAUUAUGUUAAUUGUGUAAUAUUAGAUAUGUAAACUCGAUUAUGGCAAAAUAUAUUACCUCCAGCCCCUCGAUGUUGAUCCUUUUUGUAUGAACAGAACAGACCUGCACAAACCAAUUGCAUAGGUUUUUGUAAAUCAGCAACGGAAAGUUGUACCCAUGGAAAUUCUACGGUUCAACACUAGAAUGAAGGGCUGAAUUCAGAGACUUGAAUUCUGUUAAUAAAUCUAUUCCACAGUAAAGUUUGUCUCAAGAGAACACAAAUUGCAGGCCAUAAUAAACCAGAAGUUUUGGAAUAUACAAUAAGGUCAAAUUUGCCAGAAAUACCUGCUCCACAAUUAGUCGAUUCUCGGCCAUCAAAUUGCAGAAAUACUAUUUGGUGCAUUGGAAAAUAUGGUUUGGGUUUCUCUCAUAUUCUUCUCGCAGGUCUACGAUCCCACGGCUGGAACAAAUAGCUUACAUUUACUCUGUUCUUCCUCAAAUCAUUGUAUGGAAUAUUAAGAUCCUAUUCAGUCUAAAGCAGUUCGUCAAAUACUAUAGCUGCAAAUGGGGUUUUGUAUAGGAGCAAUAUUUUCAUUGGAAUUUUUCAUGGUACCCUUACAACGCAUCUAUUCAGGGAGAUUUGAUCCUCUUCAGUCUAAAGCAGUUCGUCAAAUACUAUAGGCGCAAAUGGGGUUUUGUAUAGGAGCAAUAUUUUCAUUGGAAUUUUUCAUGUUACCCUUACAACGCAUCUAUUCAGGGAGAUUUCUUUGCUGCCACUGUAGAACUAUUGCUAGCUGAUGAAGGAUUUUCUUUCCAUCCAUUGUUAGGUGAGUUGUACUAGAUGCUGAUUAAAAUUUCAAGCAUGUGUAGCGUGUGUAGUACUGUAUUCGAUGAUAGCGCAGACACAAUAUGCUAUGGGGGCCCGUGGUUACCGCGGUGUUUUCCAAGUAAUUGCACUUGAUGAGUCUUGGGUACCGACCACGGAGACAAGAAAUAUUGUGUACUGAGAGGUGCUUGGUCAUCUCUAGAUGCUUUGGUUAAUACAUAGAUUUCUCCCUUCCAUAUUAUUCUAUUUUCACUUUCUAUGUUCUAUCAGUUAAUAUUCACUUGCAUUGUUUUGUUUUUCAGUGUCCAUUAUCCAUCAGCAUUUGAGAUGAUUGGUCGCUUCUAGAUGUGUUAGUUCACAUAUACAUGGUGUGUUUCCAUUGAAGCCAUACCAGCUCUGGUGCACAUCAAAAUGCUCCCGUUGUAUCUUAUGGAUUUGACCCAAACCUCUCUCUGGAUGUUAAAUAUAAAUGUCCACUACUUGACGUGGUUGUGCCAGCUGAUGCAAUUCUAGAUGGUGUGUUUUCUUUA